GGUCCCAUAGUCUAAUGGUCAGGACGCCGGCCUUUCACGUCGGAGAUACCGGGUUCAAGUCCCGUUGGGAUCA
rnacentral:tRNA from 1 species